rnacentral:rRNA from 1 species
UACGGAGGGAGCUAGCGUUGUUCGGAAUUACUGGGCGUAAAGCGCACGUAGGCGGCUUUGUAAGUUAGAGGUGAAAGCCUGGAGCUCAACUCCAGAAUUGCCUUUAAGACUGCAUCGCUUGAAUCCAGGAGAGGUGAGUGGAAUUCCGAGUGUAGAGGUGAAAUUUCGUAGAUAUUCGGAAGAACACCAGUGGCGAAGGCGGCUCACUGGACUGGUAUUGACGCUGAGGUGCGAAAGCGUGGGGAGCAAACAGG